UACGUAGGGCGCAAGCGUUAUCCGGAAUUAUUGGGCGUAAAGAGCUCGUAGGCGGUUUGUCGCGUCUGCCGUGAAAGUCCGGGGCUCAACUCCGGAUCUGCGGUGGGUACGGGCAGACUAGAGUGAUGUAGGGGGAGACUGGAAUUCCUGGUGUAGCGGUGAAAUGCGCAGAUAUCAGGAGGAACACCGAUGGCGAAGGCAGGUCGUCUGGGCAUUAACUGACGCUGAGGAGCGAAAGCAUGGGGAGCGAACAGG
rnacentral:rRNA from 1 species